GCCGCCGAGCCGCCGCCGCGGCGCGCAGAGCGGGCGCGCUGCCCUGCUCGCUAGAUGCUGCGGUGGCCGCCCGGGAGCAGCCACGCUCCGCGCUCGGCCACCACCGACCGCGGGCACCGACCAGGGGCCGCCGCAGCUACCGGGGGCAGCGCUCGGCCUCCGCCGGGCCCAGGGGCAGCGCGGAGCGGUGCGGAGAUGGUGCCGCUGGUGCGGAGCGCCGGGGGCUCCCACCAGUGGCUGGCGAUCGUGUUCCUCGGCCUUUGCUGUUUCCUGCCCCCCGGGCGAUUCGCCGCUCCGGGUGGAGACUUCCCCGGGGCGGCCGUGGACAAUCUGGUGGUGAGGAAGGGGGACACGGCGGUGCUUAGGUGUUACUUGGAAGAUGGAGCUUCAAAAGGUGCCUGGCUGAAUCGGUCGAGUAUUAUUUUUGCUGGAAGUGAUAAGUGGUCAGUAGACCCUCGAGUUUCAAUCGCAACAGCAAAUAGAAGAGAAUACAGCCUGCAGAUACAGGACGUAGACGUGACAGAUGACGGUCCAUACACUUGUUCUGUGCAAACUCAACACACUCCUAGAACGAUGCAGGUGCACUUAACUGUACAAGUUUCUCCGAAGAUAUUUCGUAUCUCGAGCGACAUCGUUGUGAACGAAGGAAGCAAUGUUACCCUGGUGUGCCUGGCCACGGGGAAGCCAGAGCCUUCCAUUUCCUGGAGGCACAUCUCUCCGUCCGCAAAACCAUUUGAGAGCGGACAGUACCUGGACAUCUAUGGAAUUACAAGAGACCAGGCUGGGGAAUAUGAAUGCAGUGCAGAAAAUGAUGUCUCAGUCCCAGACGUGAAAAAAGUAAAAGUCACAGUAAACUUUGCCCCCACAAUUCAGGAACUUAAAUCCAGCGGUGUGAUGCUUGGAGGGAACGGACUGAUACGGUGCGAAGGUGCAGGAGUUCCUGCCCCGGUCUUUGAGUGGUACAAAGGAGAGAGGAAACUGAUCAAUGGUCAACAAGGAAUUACUAUUAAAAAUUAUAGUACAAGAUCACUUCUUACUGUUACCAAUGUGACAGAAGAGCAUUUUGGCAACUAUACAUGUGUCGCUGCCAACAAGCUAGGGACGACCAAUGCCAGCCUGCCUCUCAACCCUCCCAGUACCGCCCAGUACGGGAUCACCGGUGACGCCGAAGUCCUCUUCUCCUGCUGGUACCUUGUGUUGACACUGUCCUCCCUCACCAGCAUAUUCUACCUGAAGAACAUCAUUCUGCACUAAGUGUAAAGACCCAUAAAAGGCUUUUAAGGAUUCUCUGAAAGUGCUGAUGACUGGAUCCAAUCUGGUAGAGUUUGUUAAAAGCAGCGUGGGAUAUAAUCAGCAGUGCUUACAUGGGGAUGAUCGCCUUCUGUAGAAUUGCUCAUUAUCUUGCUUAUAGCUGAUAACAGCAUAAGCCAAGCGAACCCAAGGAAAUAUAAUUCAUCACAGUACACCGGUGACCCUCGCACUGCUGCAGAAAUAUAUUCCCAUGACUGGUGUGAAUCCAACUGCAUCAAAUUCUGCUUAAACACCCUCAGUCAGCAGCACAGAAAGCACAUUCCCAAAGCUCCUACAAGGGCUGAUGGAGUGAAACCAGACUGCCUGCGUUGGCUCGAGCAGCCGCCGGGUCAGCGCGUUUCCCAGCUACCGAACCCAACGCCGCGAGCGCGUUCCUGUCGCGUCCGUUCAUCUCUAGCCUGGCAAAGUCCCCACGCGGACCCUCGGUUACGGUAAGGAUUUGGCCCUACGGCAGCGUUGCAGCACUGCGGUGGGAGGCUGCGGGUGAUGCAAAACCGCUGCGUUUCCUCUCUCUCUGAGUGACCGUUAGCCACAGGGAAGACAAAGCCAUCUUAACACGGUAAAUGCACAAAUAAUGGGAGAUGAUUGAAUUGCUUUUCCCUACGUUCACGUUGCUUCUGUUAAGGAUUGUAUUUUAUUCCAGAAUCAGGUUGCGGAUUGUACGUUGUGUUACGAUUAGAAAAGGAUACUUUUUUAUAUAUAUAUAUAAAACUCUUUUUUUAUUCAUUUCUAAAUAAAUCAUCUCAAGAUGACAGGAUAUGGUGAGGAUUUUAGUUUUUAAAAAAUGGUUUACAGUAACUAAAUUAAACGGAUGCCUUAUUUAUGAGGAUUGAAGGAUUUUUUUUGAAGAGAAACAAUCCCCUGUCCAAAGGUACCUGAAGAAAUCCUGGCAGGGGACGUUCUCCCCGGCGAUGAGCUAAGGCAGGAAGGGUGUUUCUGUGUAAAGCCAGUCUGGCAGCGGGAGGGCAACAACCUGUGCAGAAAGAGAAGCUGAUGUCUGAAAGGCGCCUUGAGAUACCAGGCUUGGGUUGACGUUUCCCAGACCCUAGCGCUAGCCCCACUCCUCCGAAACCUCGGGCACGGCAGCCGUGGCCGCGCCGGGGCGGCUCAGCACCUCCACGUCCCGUGGGAGCUGCGGGGCUCGGCACCGGGAAGCGGCCGGUGCCUUUUGGGAGGGACUCAAGCCAAGAAAGAACAUGACAAGAACAAUGCUACAGUACACAGUAUCUGUCUCAGUAACUGGGCAGAUCUUCCUGUUUGCAAUUAAAGAAAAAGCCUCUUAAAAAUAUCUGGGAAUUUUUUUCCAAAGCCACUUGGUAACUUCCUUGUAACCUUACUGCUGUACAAUGGGUAGGGAGAAAAAUCGCUUUUCCAUAACUCCUACGUUAGGUUAACGACAGAACUUCUCCCAGGAUUAAAAUAUAGCGACAUUUUCUUUUUCUAUGUUUUUUUAAUUAGUUUAACCUGAAGUUAACAGAGUCCCUAAUUCUUUCCAAAUCUCAGCAACAGCCUGUAGGGAUGAACGUAUUUAUUUCCUGCAUCUGUUCUCCAAAUUAAAUCAGAAAAUGAUUAUGAAAGAACAGUUCUUGGUAGUCCCCGGGGAAGCUCUUAUGGAAACCUUACAUUAUAGCGAUGCUUGCUGCCAGUGAUCUCUGUAUUGCAGCAUGGCUGGAGUCUUUCUUCACAGAACUCUUUUUUCCUCCUUUUAUAUUGUACUAAUUGUAAGGGAAAUAUAACACCACUGCAGGGUUAAAAUCUGGUUCCACUGAAGUCAAUGGCAAGACUUCCACUUAUGGAACGGAUCGAGGAUUCCAUUUCAGAUGUUUAUUAUGCUGUCAGAAGACGGAGCAGACCGUGUGUCUGCAAGGCACACGGGGUAUCAAACCAUCAGCCGUGGUGGUGUUCUGCAAACUCAUUUGCGUUUGCUCUGGCAUUAGGAACAUCGUUCGAGGGGUUUUUAAUUGCAGAUGUGAACACAAAGGAAGAGUCGGUGUGCCAUUAAUACAAAGUCGAUGUUUAACACUCACUACAAAGUACCGUGUGGAACUAGGAUCAAAUCGGACAAGUCCAAAAUUUAGCGAUGUACAGCAUUUUAUGAUGCAUGUAGUAUUUUUAGUAGCAACAGACUAUGACAUUUGAGGGCUGCAGCCUAGUAGGAUAUACCAGUGUUUCUCGCUUCUAUGUAAUAUUUUGUAUGGGUUUAGAGAAGAUGGCCUCUGUCGUGCAUUGUGUGUGACAUGUUUCUUAUCCCAGAGAGGUGUAUGAUGUAAAAUACGUCAGUGAAAAGUGUAUAUUUUAUGUGAGAGGAAAAUACAUUUUAAUAAAGGUAAAGCUUUGUUAGCUGUAAAAAUGGCAACUGUUCAAGUGUACAGUAACUUCUUACUAAUGUAUGAAAAUCUGUGAUAUUUUUGAUUUGAUUGUAUUUGUAUUGCCCAAAUAAAACAUUUUGGCUGUAUUGUUCCUAA